GGUUGCGAUCAUACCAGCACUAAUGCACCGGAUCCCAUCAGAACUCCGCAGUUAAGCGUGCUUGGGCGAGAGUAGUACUAGGAUGGGUGAUCCCCUGGGAAGUCCUCGUGUUGCAACCCCCG
rnacentral:rRNA from 1 species